AGAUGAGCUCAUCUGAACACAGUUCCUCUUUCAGGUCCAAACGUUUGAGUGCGGAAGAGUCCAGUGAAGUCCUGCUGAGAGAGAUACAGGAUUUCCUCGUGUGCUGGUUGUGUCAGGUAGACUGUAGGUCUGUAAAGAGCUCUGCAGAAGUGCUGAGGUAGUGUAGUUUGAGUUGUUGACUGAUCGGUCAGUAGAGCGGGUGUAGGAGUGGUCAUAUCUGCAGUCGUGCUGUCUCUGUAUGUAGUGAGGAAGUUCUGUAACUCAGGAAGAAUGCAGGUUUGUUUUUAUCUGCUGCUUGUGCUCCAUGUUGCUGAAGGCUGCACACUGAAUGACCAUGAGGAGGUAGAAAAGAUUACUGCAUACACAGGAGGGUCAAUACUGCUGCCCUGCUACUGCACUGACCCACGUACCACACCUGAGAGACUCAUCUGGAAGAAACUCACCUCAAACACACGUGAAUGGGAAGCGAUGUCCAGUGAGAGUGGUCAGUACAGAGACAGAGUUCAGCUGGUUAAUGGUCACUCUCCAGGAAAUCUCUCUCUACUCAUAUCACACCUGACUGAAGAGGAUUGAGGAUAUUACAGAUGUACCGUUGAAGGUGUCAGAAGCAAAGAUAUCAGCCUCACUGUUAAAGGCUGCACUCUGACCAACCAUGCACACACAUUAUAUAUCACAGCUUAUACAGGAGGGUCAGUACUGCUGCCCUGCUCCUGCACUGAGCUACGUGCCAAACCUGAGACAUUCACCUGGAAAAAAUACAUCAAUCAAAAUUGGGAAAGGAUACCCAUUGAAAGUGGUUAGUUCAGAAACAGACUUCAGCUGGUUAAUGGUCACUCUCCAGGAAAUCUCUCUCUACUCAUAUCACACCUGACUGUAGAGGAUGGAGGAGUGUACAUGUGUGAUGCUAUGAAAAGAGGACUCACAUACAUCAGCCUCACUGUUGAAGGUAAAACACUGAUUUAUAUUCUGAGUGAAAAAUGUGUUGAGUCAACUGAGAUUGUAUUAGUCUUACAUUAUAAAUGCUCCAAUCAGAGCUUUAAUGAGGGUUCUAUAGUGAGGGUGUGUGCAGUAGCUUUGUUUACUUAUUUUUAGAGUAUAUGGAUGUCUGUAACUUCCUAUAAUUUCUACUUUAGGGAC